rnacentral:rRNA from 1 species
CCUACGGGUGGCAGCAGUGAGGAAUAUUGGUCAAUGGACGAGAGUCUGAACCAGCCAAGUAGCGUGAAGGAUGACUGCCCUAUGGGUUGUAAACUUCUUUUAUAUGGGAAUAAAACGUUCCACGUGUGGGAUUUUGUAUGUACCAUAUGAAUAAGGAUCGGCUAACUCCGUGCCAGCAGCCGCGGUAAUACGGAGGAUCCGAGCGUUAUCCGGAUUUAUUGGGUUUAAAGGGAGCGUAGGUGGAUUGUUAAGUCAGUUGUGAAAGUUUGCGGCUCAACCGUAAAAUUGCAGUUGAAACUGGCAGUCUUGAGCACAGUAGAGGUGGGCGGAAUUCGUGGUGUAGCGGUGAAAUGCUUAGAUAUCACGAAGAACUCCGAUUGCGAAGGCAGUUCACUGGACUGCAACUGACACUGAGGCUCGAAAGUGUGGGUAUCAAACAGGAUUAGAUACCCUAGUAGUC